rnacentral:pre_miRNA from 1 species
ACCUGGGCUCAAGGUGAGGGGUGCCAUCUGUGACUGAGGGACAUGGCCAAAGGAAUUGUCUCACACAGAAAUCGCACCCGUCACCUUGGUACUGCCCA